UAAUAAGUGUUUUAUGGCACUUUUUAAAUCCAUAUCCGCCUUGUGUGCAAUGUCAGUCGAUCUUCUUCAUGGAGAUCGACCAAACAUCAACCUUUAUUUUUAACUCUUUGUCUGAAAAAUAUUAUGAAUAAACAAUUCAAAAUA
rnacentral:misc_RNA from 1 species